rnacentral:rRNA from 1 species
CACAAGCGGUGGAGCAUGUGGUUAAUUCGAAGCAACGCGAAGAACCUUACCAGGUCUUGACAUCCCUGACAACCGAGAGAUCGGCGUUCCCCUUCGGGGGACAGGGUGACAGGUGGUGCAUGGUUGUCGUCAGCUCGUGUCGUGAGAUGUUGGGUUAAGUCCCGUAACGAGCGCAACCCUUGUCCUUAGUUACCAGCACGUUAAGGUGGGCACUCUAAGGAGACUGCCGGUGACAAACCGGAGGAAGGUGGGGAUGACGUCAAGUCAUCAUGGCCCUUACGGCCUGGGCUACACACGUGCUACAAUGGUCGGUACAAAGGGUUGCCAAGCCGCGAGGUGGAGCUAAUCCCAUAAAACCGAUCGUAGUCCGGAUCGCAGUCUGCAACUCGACUGCGUGAAGUCGGAAUCGCUAGUAAUCGUGAAUCAGAAUGUCACGGUGAAUACGUUCCCGGGCCUU